rnacentral:rRNA from 1 species
ACUCCUACGGGAGGCAGCAGUGGGGAAUUUUGGGCAAUGGGCGAAAGCCUGACCCAGCAACGCCGCGUGAAGGAUGAAAUCCUUCGGGAUGUAAACUUCGCAAGAACGGGAAGAAUAAGUAAGGGUUAAUAUCUCUUACGAUGACGGUACUGUUUGUAAGCUCCGGCUAACUCCGUGCCAGCAGCCGCGGUAAUACGGGGGGAGCAAGCGUUGUUCGGAUUUACUGGGCGUAAAGGGCGCGUAGGCGGCCACCGCAAGUCGACUGUGAAAUCUCCGGGCUUAACCCGGAAAGGUCAGCCGAUACUGCGGGGCUAGAGUGCAGAAGGGGCAACUGGAAUUCUCGGUGUAGCGGUGAAAUGCGUAGAUAUCGAGAGGAACACCUGCGGCGAAGGCGGGUUGCUGGGCUGACACUGACGCUGAGGCGCGAAAGCUAGGGGAGCGAACGGGAUUAGAUACCCCGGUAGUCCUAGCCUUAAACGAUGAAUGCUUGGUGUCUGGGGUUUUAUAGUCCCCGGGUGCCGUCGCUAACGCUUUAAGCAUUCCGCCUGGGGAGUACGGUCGCAAGACUGAAACUCAAAGGAAUUGACGGGGACCCGCACAAGCGGUGGAGCAUGUGGUUUAAUUCGACGCAACGCGAAGAACCUUACCUGGGCUAGAAUGCCUCUGACAGCCGUAGAGAUACGGAUUCCUGGGUAAAACCAGGCAGAGUGCAAGGUGCUGCAUGGCUGUCGUCAGCUCGUGUCGUGAGAUGUUGGGCUAAGUCCCGCAACGAGCGCAACCCUUAUCAAUAGUUGCCAGCGGUUCGGCCGGGCACUCUAUUGAGACUGCCGUUGACAAAACGGAGGAAGGUGGGGAUGACGUCAAGUCCUCAUGGCCUUUAUGUCCAGGGCUACACACGUGCUACAAUGGCGAGUACAAAGCGCUGCAAACCUGCAAGGGGGAGCCAAUCGCAAAAAGCUCGUCUCAGUUCGGAUUGGAGUCUGCAACUCGACUCCAUGAAGUUGGAAUCGCUAGUAA